rnacentral:rRNA from 1 species
GACGAACGCUGGCGGCGUGCUUAACACAUGCAAGUCGAACGAGUGGCGAACGGGUGAGUAAUACGUGGGUAACCUGCCCUCUUUUUGGGAUAAGCCUUGGAAACGGGGUCUAAUACCGAAUAAAGGGGGAUGGGCUCGCGGCCUAUCUGCUUGUUGGUGGGGUGAUGGCCUACCAAGGCGGGGACGGGUAGCCGGGCUGAGAGGGUGACUGGCAAGAGUGGGACGGGGAUACGGCGCCGACUCCUACGGGAGGCAGAAGUGGGGGAUAUUGCACAAUGGGGGAAAGCCGGAUGCAGCGACGCCGCGUGGGGGAUGAAGGCUUUCGGGUUGUAAACCUCUUUCGCUCUCGAACGGGUAGGUGGAGAAGAAGCGCCGGCUAACUACGUGCCAGCAGCCGCGGUAAUAC